GUAGGUGGCAAGCGUUGUCCGGAAUUAUUGGGCGUAAAGCGCGCGCAGGCGGUUCUUUAAGUCUGAUGUGAAAGCCCACGGCUCAACCGUGGAGGGUCAUUGGAAACUGGAGAACUUGAGUACAGAAGAGGAAAGCGGAAUUCCACGUGUAGCGGUGAAAUGCGUAGAGAUGUGGAGGAACACCAGUGGCGAAGGCGGCUUUUCUGGUCUGUAACUGCCGCUGAGGCGCGUAAGCGUGGGGAGCAAACAGGGAUUAGAUACCCUGGUAGUCCACGCCGUAAACGAUGAGUGCUAAGUGUUAGGGGGGUUUCCGCCCCCUUAGUGCUGCAGCUAACGCAUUAAGCACUCCGCCUGGGGAGUACGGCCGCAAGGCUG
rnacentral:rRNA from 1 species